CUACGGGUGGCUGCAGUGGGGAAUUUUGGACAAUGGGCGAAAGCCUGAUCCAGCAAUGCCGCGUGUGCGAAGAAGGCCUUCGGGUUGUAAAGCACUUUUGUCAGGGAAGAAAUCGUUUGGGUUAAUACCCCGAGCAGUUGACGGUACCUGAAGAAUAAGCACCGGCUAACUACGUGCCAGCAGCCGCGGUAAUACGUAGGGUGCAAGCGUUAAUCGGAAUUACUGGGCGUAAAGCGUGCGCAGGUGGUUUGUUAAGACAGUUGUGAAAUCCCCGGGCUUAACCUGGGAACUGCAAUUGUGACUGGCAGACUAGAGUGAGGCAGAGGGGGGCGGAAUUCCUGGUGUAGCAGUGAAAUGCGUAGAUAUCAGGAGGAACACCGAUGGCGAAGGCAGCCCCCUGGGCCAUCACUGACACUCAUGCACGAAAGCGUGGGGAGCAAACAGGAUUAGAUACCCUAGUAGUC
rnacentral:rRNA from 1 species